rnacentral:rRNA from 1 species
UACGAGAGGCCCAAACGUUAUUCGGAAUUACUGGGCGUAAAGCGUGCGUAGACGGUAGCGUAAGUCAGAUGUGAAAGCCCCGGGCUCAACCUGGGAACUGCAUUUGAGACUGCUCUGCUCGGGUGCGGAAGAGGGAAGCGGAAUUUCCGGUGUAGCGGUGAAAUGCGUAGAUAUCGGAAGGAACACCAGUGGCGAAAGCGGCUUCCUGGUCCGACACCGACGUUCAGGCACGAAAGCGUGGGGAGCAAACAGG